AAAAUGUAAACAAAGCAAAAACGUAAACAUUGAAAUACAAGGCGGCGGAAAUUCGGAUCUUUGGUGGCCAUCAGUGUCUUGGCCACUGCGUACCCACCCAACCUAGGAUGCUAGAAAAAGGUCUAGCAAUUCAUCAUCAUUAUAAACUCGUCUUUAAUACUUCAGGCCCUAGAAUUAACUCUCAACCGCCGUAUAAGUAUUUAGCGGUCAAAGCUAAAUUCAAGAACUAAGGAAUGGACACUCACCGACAAAAUGUUCUGCCACCCUUGUAUCGGCGGAACUCUCUUGUUUUACGCGUUUUAAAUGUAGGUCACCUAAUCCUGAGGAGCUCCAAGGGAAAAGAAGGGACGCCGAAAGCAACCGUCGGUCAAGGGUGAAUCUUUGGACGAACGCACAAUAGACUUAACAAUACUAGGAAGUGGUGGCUGGGCUCAGCCCACCAGUGUAUUGCACCACAAGGAACUUGGAGGCGUAUAGAGACUGGCUGGCCAACCUCGUGGUACGGAGAUCUAGAGUCCUAGAGGGUCGACUUGGGCUUUGAUGCCGAGGCUCUUCAAAAAUGUUCCUCCAAAUGCACGUUCUCCUCAGAAAACUUCGUAGUUGUGUUCCCUCCGAAAAGGUUAUAAUUUCUUCAAAAAUAUCGACGCAUUUCCGCGACUGUAUCGUAUGUAGAAAAAUCAAAUUUUACAGGAGAAGCUUUUUUUAUUUAAUCUCUUAGGAAUGAGAAAAUCAUGGAAAUAUUUUUCAAGGUUUCGUCGUUUUAGCUACAAUAACGAAUGAAAACUUAAUUUUUUUCAUUAUUUCCCGAAAAAAUAUAAAAAUAGUUACAUACGAUAAUUUUGCACGCUUUGUUUUCAUACCCUUGCGCACAACGUGCGACAUACGAUAAUAAAAUUUGAUUUAUUAUGCGAAAUUAGAAUUUUAUUAAGAAAUUUUUCCAAAAAUUUUAUUAAUUAA